UGGCGCAUAGCUCAGCUGGUAGAGCGCGCGCUUAGCAUGCGCGAGAUCUCGAGUUCGAUUCUUGCCUCCA
rnacentral:tRNA from 1 species